UGGGGAAUUUUGGACAAUGGACGCAAGUCUGAUCCAGCCAUGCCGCGUGCGGGAAGAAGGCCUUCGGGUUGUAAACCGCUUUUGUCAGGGAAGAAACGAGUUUCUCUAAUACAGAGACUUAAUGACGGUACCUGAAGAAUAAGCACCGGCUAACUACGUGCCAGCAGCCGCGGUAAUACGUAGGGUGCGAGCGUUAAUCGGAAUUACUGGGCGUAAAGCGUGCGCAGGCGGUUAUGUAAGACAGAUGUGAAAUCCCCGGGCUCAACCUGGGAACUGCAUUUGUGACUGCAUGGCUAGAGUACGGUAGAGGGGGAUGGAAUUCCGCGUGUAGCAGUGAAAUGCGUAGAUAUGCGGAGGAACACCGAUGGCGAAGGCAAUCCCCUGGACCUGUACUGACGCUCACGCACGAAAGCGUGGGGAGCAAACA
rnacentral:rRNA from 1 species